rnacentral:rRNA from 1 species
UACGGAGGGUGCGAGCGUUGUCCGGAAUUAUUGGGCGUAAAGGGCUCGUAGGCGGUUUGUCGCGUCGGGAGUGAAAACCUCGGGCUUAACUCGGGGCUUGCUUUCGAUACGGGCAGACUGGAGGUAUGCAGGGGAGAACGGAAUUCCUGGUGUAGCGGUGAAAUGCGCAGAUAUCAGGAGGAACACCGGUGGCGAAGGCGGUUCUCUGGGCAUGACCUGACGCUGAGGAGCGAAAGCUAGGGGAGCAAACGGG